rnacentral:rRNA from 1 species
UACGUAGGGUGCGAGCGUUGUCCGGAAUUAUUGGGCGUAAAGAGCGCGUAGGCGGUCCGAUAAGUCGGCUGUGAAAGUCUAGGGCUCAACCCUGGAAAGCCGGCCGAUACUGUCGGACUAGAGUCCGGAAGAGGCAAGUGGAAUUCCCGGUGUAGCGGUGAAAUGCGCAGAUAUCGGGAAGAACACCCGUGGCGAAGGCGGCUUUCUGGGACGGUACUGACGCUGAGACGCGAAAGCGUGGGGAGCAAACAG